GAGUUUGAUUAUGGCUCAGGAUGAACGCUAGCGGCAGGCUUAACACAUGCAAGUCGAGGGGUAGCAGGAGAUAGUUUACUAUUUUGCUGACGACCGGCGCACGGGUGAGUAACGCGUAUACAAUUUACCUUUUACAGGAGGAUAGCCCAGAGAAAUUUGGAUUAAUACUCCAUGGUAUUACGGAAUCGCAUGGUUUUGUAAUUAAAGUUUCGGCGGUAGAAGAUGAGUAUGCGUCCUAUUAGCUAGUUGGUAAGGUAACGGCUUACCAAGGCGACGAUAGGUAGGGGUCCUGAGAGGGAGAUCCCCCACACUGGUACUGAGACACGGACCAGACUCCCACGGGAGGCAGCAGUGAGGAAUAUUGGGCAAUGGAGGCAACUCUGACCCAGCCAUGCCGCGUGCAGGAAGACUGCCCUAUGGGUUGUAAACUGCUUUUAUACAGGAAGAAACUUAUCCACGUGUGGGUAACUGACGGUACUGUACGAAUAAGGACCGGCUAACUCCGUGCCAGCAGCCGCGGUAAUACGGAGGGUCCAAGCGUUAUCCGGAAUCAUUGGGUUUAAAGGGUCCGUAGGCGGGCGAUUAAGUCAGAGGUGAAAUCCCACAGCUCAACUGUGGAACUGCCUUUGAUACUGGUUGUCUUGAGUUACAGUGAAGUAGAUAGAAUAUGUAGUGUAGCGGUGAAAUGCAUAGAUAUUACAUAGAAUACCGAUUGCGAAGGCAGUCUACUAACUGUUAACUGACGCUAAGGGACGAAAGCGUGGGGAGCGAACAGGAUUAGAUACCCUGGUAGUCCACGCCGUAAACGAUGGUCACUAGUUGUUGGGGCUUGCCUCAGUGAUUAAGCGAAAGUGAUAAGUGACCCACCUGGGGAGUACGAUCGCAAGAUUGAANCUCAAAGGA
rnacentral:rRNA from 1 species